rnacentral:rRNA from 1 species
GUGGGGAAUCUUAGACAAUGGGCGCAAGCCUGAUCUAGCCAUGCCGCGUGAGCGAUGAAGGCCUUAGGGUUGUAAAGCUCUUUCGUGGGGGAAGAUAAUGACUGUACCCCAAGAAGAAGCCCCGGCUAACUCCGUGCCAGCAGCCGCGGUAAUACGGAGGGGGCUAGCGUUGUUCGGAAUUACUGGGCGUAAAGCGCACGUAGGCGGACUGGAAAGUCAGGGGUGAAAUCCCGGGGCUCAACCCCGGAACUGCCUUUGAAACUCCUGGUCUUGAGGUCGAGAGAGGUGAGUGGAAUUCCGAGUGUAGAGGUGAAAUUCGUAGAUAUUCGGAGGAACACCAGUGGCGAAGGCGGCUCACUGGCUCGAUACUGACGCUGAGGUGCGAAAGCGUGGGGAGCAAACAGGAUUAGAAACCCCGGUAGUCC